GCAAGAAGUGAAGUGAAUGGUUGUGGUUUUUAAAAAGCAGCUAAAAUGAGGAAACAGUAUUAAAAUCUGGUUGGCAUUAUGAAAUAGACCUACAGAGGAAAUGCUAGUUUAAAAGGAGGCUCAGCCCUGUUCUUAGAGCCCUAGAAAUUCAGGUUUUUCAUGAUGUGUCUGAAUCUGCAUUCUCCUCCCCCAUGUCUCCAUCCUGUUCCCCUCCCACCACCAGUCUGAUUGAGCUUGACCAGCAGCUGCUGACUCAAUCCUACACUGGCUGCACAUGGUUAGAGGAAUGUUAAUUAUUGCCUGUAAUCUGCAUCGUUUCCUGGAGAAAAUGACAAGGGUAACUAGGCUCGUUUAAGAAAUAUAGACAUUUAGAGAGGUACCUGGAAGAAUGGUUUUCUCAGAGUAAAGAUGUUGAUGAGAAGGCAAGAAAACUGCUCAGAACUCUUCUAGGAAAAACAGAAGAGAGCCAACAUCUACAGAGAAUAAAGAUGAAGAAGCAAAAGCUAUGAGAGCUAAAGGCAUAAAAUACUAAGACUUCCCUCUGUUCAGUAGUUGCCGUGGAACACAUAGGCCAUGGAAACUGGAUAAAGUAUGA